AAAAUGAAACCAAAACCAAUUGCCCUAGGCAGAAAGUUAGGUUAUAAUGGGUUUCCUGCAGCCAAAGAGUCAUGAGUCACAGCAGCUGCCUCAAGACUGGGAGGGGAAGUAAACCACUGGAUCUAAGGAUCACUCUAGUCACCCUACAGUGACUCCUCUUUUUCCCCUCCUGCCAUGGUCCAGGGUAGCCAGAUACUUCUCCAGGCUGUCACUUACGUGGGCUUUCCUGCUGGCUACAUCACUGAAAUGGAAUCUCCUAGUGGCCCUUCUCCCUCUACAGCUCUGGUGUUACACUGAAAAACUAGAAGUUUCAAAAUAGACAAGGGAAUAAGAGAAACAUCAGAAAGUCUGAUCAAAGUAGAAGCAUCAUGUUUCUAUCAACGUAUCCACUGUGCUUGACAUUAUAGUAUGCGUAGCCUUGGAAUCAGAAGACCAAGAACAUACAAGAGAACAUAGCCUUGGAAUCAGAAGAUCAAGAAACAAUUUAACUCUGCCCCUCCAGAGCUCUGAGAACUUGGGUAACCCUCUUACUCUCUGUGAGUUUCAGUUUCCUCAUUUAUUUAAUUGAAAUAAUAAUACAGAUCACCUGAAAUGUAAUGAAAAUUAAACUUCCUUAUGUAGGUGAUACCAAUUGGCAGCAUGCCUGGAAUAUAGUAGGUGUUCAAUAAAUACUUUUAUCCCCCACAU